rnacentral:rRNA from 1 species
CCUACGGGAGGCAGCAGUGGGGAAUAUUGCACAAUGGGGGAAACCCUGAUGCAGCGACGCCGCGUGAGUGAAGAAGUAUUUCGGUAUGUAAAGUCCUAUCAGCAGGGAAGAAAAUGACGGUAUCUGAUGAAUAAGCACCGGCUAACUACGUGCCAGCAGCCGCGGUAAUACGGAGGGGGCAAGCGUUAUCCGGAUUUACUGGGUGUAAAGGGAGCGUAGACGGGCGUAUAAGUCUGGUGUGAAAUGCCGGGGCUUAACCACAGAACUGCUUUUGAAACUGUGCAUCUAGAGUGCAGGAGAGGUAAGUGGAAUGCUUAGUGUAGGGGUGAAAUGCGUAGAUAUUAGGAGGAACACCAGUGGCGAAGGCGGCUUACUGGACUGUAACUGACGCUCAUGCUCGAAAGCGUGGGGAGCAAACAGGAUUAGAUACCCCAGUAGUC